rnacentral:rRNA from 1 species
UACAGAGGGGGCAAGCGUUGUUCGGAAUUACUGGGCGUAAAGGGCGCGUAGGCGGCCCGCUAAGUCGAACGUGAAAUCCCCAGGCUUAACCUGGGAACUGCGUCCGAUACUGGCGACCUUGAGUCCGGGAGAGGUGAGUGGAACUCCGAGUGUAGAGGUGAAAUUCGUAGAUAUUCGGAAGAACACCAGUGGCGAAGGCGGCUCACUGGCCCGGUACUGACGCUGAGGUGCGAAAGCGUGGGGAGCAAACAGG